CUGAAGCACAAUGGUAGUUUAUUUAUUCAAAAUAUCACCGUGAAUGAAUUAGGAAUUUAUUACUGCAUGAACCCAGAGUCAUCACAGAAAAUUAGCAACGGAACCAGGCUUUGCAACACACUCCAUGCAGACAAUCAUAGCAAUCUGACGAAGGAUCUUGAGGGGAAUCAGAUAAACGACAAACUUGAUGACAAUUUAAAAAAUCCUACUCAUCUACAAAUCUUAUUUAUUGUCUCUGCCAUGCUGAAUUUUUUCCUGGUCAUCGCAGUAACAGGUAUUACAGUUCAGUAUUGUAAAAGGACUCAAAAGCCCCAACUACAGCCGCCAGACUCUACGGCUAGAUCAUCUCCACAGCAUCAAGAGGCCAGUGGUGCACAGUAUGAAGAGAUUGAGCUGCCGUCAAACAACAUGAGACUGAUUCAGGUGAACAGCACUUACGCCCUGUUACAGAAGCCGAAACCUCAGAGAGGAGCCUGAAGACUCGCGUUCGUCUCACUGCUGGACAAACCUGUAGGCAUUUAACCGUGUGCAGCAUGUUCGGGAUCAGGACUGAGCUAAAAUGGUUAAUAUAAGAUAUUGUUAACCAAGUGAGCAUGGGCGUGCUGUGAGCUGUGCACGAGCUGCUGGCUGAUCUGCGGGGUUUGACACCUCCAUCAACACUUUGGUGAGAUUUUCUUGAAAACCUGCAAAGUUGAUCAUCAGACUGCAUCAGGGGAAGUGUGAUCAGAUGUGUGCACUGCACGUGGGAUUUGUUUUUCUUUUUUCAGGUUACCUUCACGGGGUUUCUUCUCAACACUUCCCAUAUGUUUGUGAGAGCUGGGCUUUUCAAAACACAAAAUCUGGACUAUGUUUUCGGACAAAAAUAAGAGUUUGUUCCGUUUUUUGCUGGAGAAAUUGUCUGUACUGUCCAGGGAAGGAUUUCUACUUGAUAUUAGAACAUUUAAGUUUAAAGGAUCUUACUGCUUUAAGCAGAAACAAGUAGGUUAGCAUAACCAGGAUGUUUAAAGCCUACCAUUAGGCAUGGAGCCAACCGGUUCUGGGUUUAUCUAGUCAAGAAUUUCCUGUUCUAUUUUCUAAUUUGCACAUCUGUGUCAGUAAUGGGUGAGUGAAACCUAGUGUAGCUGUGAAUGUAUUCUUCAAAAGAGGUGUCCACAAAUAUUUUGUUAAUGGUGGAACAAACUAACUUACGCUACCAGAGCAGGGGCGUCCUUCCUAAAGACAGAGCUCUUCAAUGAGCACCUACUCUCCUAACACCUCUAACUAACAAACUUACUACUUCUAACCUCAUUUUCUGUAUCCCAAUAUUACCUUUUAGGCUCCUAAAAUAUUUUUGCCAUGGACUUUUAUGCCCUCUAAUGCUAAUGUACAUCAUUAAUUGUAAGAUUAAUUGAAUAAAAGCAUCUGCUAAAUGUAAUGUAAUGAAAUG
ensembl:lncRNA